CCCCCACCCACCCAAUUUGGAAUGGCGGAAUCUUUGUCCUUGUUUCUGUUGCUAGGAUAAGCAUUGUGCCCAAAAGCGGCUUGGAGAAGAAGGGGCUUUUUUGUCUCACAGGUUGCACUCCAUCCAUCAGGGCAGAAACCCGAGCAGGAAUCUGGAGGCAGGAACUCAAGCAGAGGCCAUGGAGAACUCUGCACACUGGCUUGCUCUCCAUGGCUUGCUCUCCAAGCCUGCUGUCUUACAGAACUCAGGACCAGAAGUGGGCACACGCACUAUGGACUGGGCCCCUCCCCCACCGGUCUUUUUAAUAAAGGAAUCGGCUCACUCGUCAUGGGUCUGCCUGAUGGAAGAAACUCCUCAGUUGACUCUCUGCUUUGUGCAGAGGACAAACCCUGGCCAGCACAAGCCCUGAUGCAGCCAGUUACCCACCUCCCCAAGACAGCAAGUCCCUGUAGGUUUCUCUUAUCUGUCUCUUCUCAGAAACUAGGACUUCGGAGAUCCUACGAACCAUUGGUUGAGGAAAGGAACUGAGAAAGGAAAACGGAAGAGAAGGAAAAGGAAAGGAAGGGAAAAUGGAAAGAAAGAGGAAAGGGGAGAGAAAGAAGAAGGGAGGGGGAAAGAGAGGAGAAGGGAAGAGGGAGGAGGCAAUACAGGAGGAAGAAGGAGGGAGGAAGAGGGAGAGAGGGGAGAGAGAAGGAAGGAAGGGAGUCCUUAACUCUCUCACCAGAGUCUUCACAGUCACCUUGAGCAGGUAUAAAGACCUUGACCCAGGAUGGGUCCUAGCUAAUGUGUUCCUGCUUGCUGCUGGUGCCGACAUCAUUAAUGUGACUGUCUUGUCAUUAUUAUUAUUAUUAUUAUUAUUAUUAUUAUUAUUAUUUAGGAAAGGUAUAUUAGAAGGGGUAAAUUAUUUUUGUUGUAAUGAGGCCAAGUGUGCAUCCAGUUCCCAAACAGCCUCCAUAUUCCCAACUCCCCAGCCCCGUACUCAGCACUGUUCCCUUUGGGCACAGGCCACCCUCUACUCUCUCACUGGCCUCCAGUGAUUGGGAAGAGAGGCAAGGACAAUGGAAACAAUCUGCAAAGGUUGCUGGGCCUCUGAGCACGCAGGGCAUACUGGACAGCAGCAGCAGCGGGAGGAAGGAGUGGCUUCUGGUUAGGCUUGUCCCUAGACACAUGGACUGUUUGGAAACACCAAACAGGACCUUCACCUAGGCCUGACCUUGGGGUCCGGAGGAGCUGGCUCUUGCAAGAAGUUCAAGUUUUCAAAUAGAACUGGCCCCUCCCCCAGGCCAGUGAGGAUCCCAUGAGAAGAACCCAAGCUAAGGAGCUGCUCAGAGCAGGGAGGACAGAAGCCUCUGGGUACACAGGCUUGUCCUUGACUGCAGCAGCCUCCCUCCUGACAGGGUAGAAGAUCUGAACACGUGCAAAGAAAAGACUGAAUGGCAGCCCACGCACUCGUGCACGUGCUCGCGAACGCACAGACACACACACAAACACACACACACAUACAUUGCCAUUUUGCUCAUCAGAGCUUGGCUCUUUGCAAAUGGGAGCCAUCUUAACUCUGAAACAUGGAAGGCUCUCCUCUAGUCUGUUCUUGUCGCCCUGUCUGCCCCAGCCCAGUUUGGCAGAAGAGCACACAGUUACUUCUCUUGGCCCAGCUGGGCCCUGUAUAGACAAGCCACCUGUGUGUGGCCCAAGCCACCCAGUGUGGUAGAUGUGAGGAUGCUGUGUUGAGUGGACAGCUGACAAAGGAAGCCACAUAGGACUUGGUUUCCCGAAUUCUGUUCUCCAGAUACGGAUGGAUCAGCCGUAUCUACAGUGGCCUUUGCAGAACGCCCUGAAGACUUUUGGGUAACAGUUUUCUCUGAGAUAAAAAACAUUUCAUAGCAGGACGGAGGUGACGCACGUACGUAAGUACGUACGUACGCACGCACGCACGCACGCACGCACGCACGCAUGCACAAACUUCAGUCCCAGCACUCCAGAGGCAGAGGCAGAGGCAGAGGCAGAGGCAGAUGGAUCACUGUGGGUUUGAACCAGCCUGGUCUCCAAAGCCAGUUCCAGGACAGCCAGGGUUACAAAGAGAAACUCUGUAUCGAAAAUAAAAGCAAAAAGCAAAACAAAACAGAAUUCAUACCGCAACGGAUCUCAUUAAGCAGGAAGAUAAACAACUAAAAAAACGGUGUCAAGAACUCGCUGAAACUGACGGGGUUCACUAGGCCCCUCCCUGCCAGAGGAAAUGAUAGGAACCCAGCUGCAAAGAUGACUGUCAGACAAACUGAGAUGUCAAGAUACCGAGCUACAAGACCCGGAGACAAGAAAACUGCCCGGAAGCAGCAGGAACCUGCCCAGCUGCCUAGAAGUGUGUCAGACCAACCCGGACAUCUGGACAGGACACCCUGAACCUGCCUGCGGGCUGCACAGUGCUCUCCAGAUUCUCAGCUGUCACCCAUGCUGGGGUGGGCCUUGAUGACACAGCUGUUUGAGUCAUGUCUGUUCCUGAAAGGUUUUGUCACCCGGAACAGGAGGAUGACCAAAGUGAGUUGAGGACUGAGUGCAUGGUCCUGGCUAUGGGUAGCAAAGCAGGCAACUGAGUCACCGGUGUGUGCCUUAUUGCUAUGGCAACAGUCGCAUGGUGCCCCCACCCGGCUCCCCACAAACCCUCCCCCAAAGCAGGGUUUCUCUGGGUAGCCUUGGCUGUCCUGGAACUCCCUCUGUAGACCAGGCUGGUCUCAAACUCAGAGCUCCACCUGCCCCUGCCUCCUGAGUGCUGUGAUUAAAGGAAUGCACCACCA